rnacentral:rRNA from 1 species
GACGAACGCUGGCGGCGUGCCUAAUACAUGCAAGUCGAACGCAGUGGGGACGGGUGAGUAACACGUGGGUAACCUCCCAUCAGAGGGGAUAACACUUGGAAACAGGUGCUAAACCGAUACUGAUGGAUGGACCCGCGGUGCAUUAGCUAGUUGGUGAGGUAACGGCUCACAAAGGCCACGAUGCCUAGCCGACCAGAGGGGGGGAACGGCCACGCUGGAACUGAGACACGGCCCAGACUCCUACGAGAGGCAGCAGUGGGGAAUCUUGGACAAUGGACGAAAGUCUGACCGAGAAACGCCGCGUGAGUGAAGAAGGUUUUCGGAUCGUAAAACUCUGUUGUUAGGGAAGCGGUAUCUGACCAGAAAGCCACGGCUAACUACGUGCCAGCAGCCGCGGUAAUUC